GGGGGCGUAGCUCAGUUGGGAGAGCGCAACGUUACUUGUAGCGUUGAGGUCGUGGGUUCAACUCCCACCGCCUCCACCA
rnacentral:tRNA from 1 species